rnacentral:lncRNA from 1 species
GCUAGCAGCCAGCCUUACGUCACAGUGAGUGGGACAUGUGGCGGGCUCCGAUGGACUUAGGGAUAUCCACCACCAUUUGCGCCAGGCCCCGUCGCUUAUUUAGGCCCCCCUCCUUCCCUCCAGGGGCUUCAUUUUGCCUGAGAGUCGACAUCUUUCUUUUGUCUGAGAGUUUAGUCACUCCAUCGGCGCCCUUUUCGACUCUAAGCACUCUUCGCACCAGUCUUCGCCAUCUCCGCCGGCACCCCGCCGCCUUCAGUCUUUCGAGCCUCUUCGAGGGGUUCUCCCGUCGGGGCUUCUGCCCAGGAGGCCAACCUCGAGAGGAUGCCACA